rnacentral:siRNA from 1 species
GUCGGUGUAGAUGAUGAUGAUCA